GACGGUGAUAAAUGUUUAGUUGUGAGACAACCAACAUUUCCUUAAGGGAUGUUUAGUGCCUUAGAUGGGUUCUGUGAGAUAGGUGAGAUUUUUAUUACACCAACUAACAGAUUCUGCGAUUUGCGAAAGCAAUGGUCACUUGACCUAAUGCUGGUACAGACCUAAAGAGACAACCUAACUAGAGGGUAUUUCUGAACCAUAUGGGCAGCUUAUCAGACACGUAGCACAGGUGAAACAAUAGAGAUGAAUACACGGCGAGAAGUUGCUGAGGUUAGACUUCUGGUUGACAAUGUGCAUUACCAGCAAUCUCAACAUUGGCCAUUCCCCACGCGGUUUGAUGAUAGGUUGCUAUGCAACUAUCAUACCAGGCACCGCACAUCAGUUGAACUUAGAUGAGAAGGAAUUGGAAGAUGCAAGAUGGAUGUCCAGAGAAGAAGUAAAGUCUUUACUUGAAUCAAGUACACGUUCAGAGGCCGGGAUGUCAUCAAUAUGGUUCCAACACCACCAGCUAUGCU